rnacentral:rRNA from 1 species
GCUCAGAUUAACCCUCACUAAAGGGACUAGUCCUGCAGGUUUAAACGAAUUCGCCCUUUUACCGCGGCUUGCUGGCACCGGUCUUGCCCGGCCCUUGCUAUGAAAUGCUUUUUAGGCAUCUCGACAGCCAGAUUUGUAACCUGGCACUCGAGGUUCCCUUAUCGCUGUUGCCAGCAUUGUAAAGUUUUCGCGCCUGCUGCACCCCGUAGGGCCUGGAAAGGGCGAAUUCGCGGCCGCUAAAUUCAAUUCNCCCUANAGUGAAGUCGUAUUAA